rnacentral:rRNA from 1 species
UACGUAGGGGGCGAGCGUUGUCCGGAAUCAUUGGGCGUAAAGCGCGUGUAGGCGGCCCGGUAAGUCCGCUGUGAAAGUCCAGGGCUCAACCCUGGGAUGCCGGUGGAUACUGUCGGGCUCGAGUCCGGAAGAGGCGAGUGGAAUUCCCGGUGUAGCGGUGAAAUGCGCAGAUAUCAGGAGGAACACCAAUGGCGAAGGCAGCUCGCUGGGACGUGACUGACGCUGAGACGCGAAAGCGUGGGGAGCAAACAGG